rnacentral:rRNA from 1 species
CGCCUCUUGAACCACUAUAAGAGGUCCAGCCUGCCCAGUGACUCUGUUCAACGGCCGCGGUAUCCUAACCGUGCGAAGGUAGCGUAAUCACUUGUUCUUUAAAUGCGGACUAGUAUGAAUGGCACCACGAAGGUUAUACUGUCUCCUUUUUCUAAUCAGUGAAACUAAUCUCCCCGUGAAGAAGCGGGAAUAAAUAUAUAAGACGAGAAGACCCUAUGGAGCUUAAAACAACAUAGCACCUACCACACAAUAUUUUAACUUCCGAGUCCCAACUUCACUUGGUAUAAUGUCUAUAAGUUUUUGGUUGGGGUGACCACGGAGCAUAAUAUAACCUCCAUGCUGAAUAAAGCUGAGAAUAACCAAUCUAAGUAUCAACAUAUUGACAUUAAUUGACCCAAUAUAUUUGAACAACGAACCAAGUUACCCUAGGGAUAACAGCGCAAUCCACUUCAAAAGCUCCUAUCGACAAGUGGGUUUACGACCUCGAUGUUGGAUCAGGGUCCCCCAGUGGUGCAGCCGCUACUAAAGGUUCGUUUGUUCAACGAUUAAAACCCUACG